rnacentral:rRNA from 1 species
GUCGCCUCCCAAAAAGUAACGGAGGCGCUCAAAGGUAUCCUCAGUAUGGUUGGAAAUCAUACAUAGAGCGCAAAGGUAGAAGGAUGCUUAACUGCGAGACUUACAAGUCGAACAGAUACGAAAGUAGGACUUAGUGAUCCGGCGGUCCCGAGUGGAAGGGCCGUCGCUCAACGGAUAAAAGUUACCCCGGGGAUAACAGGCUUAUCUCCCCCAAGAGUUCACAUCGACGGGGAGGUUUGGCACCUCGAUGUCGGCUCAUCGCAUCCUGGAGCUGUAGUCGGUUCCAAGGGUUGGGCUGUUCGCCCAUUAAAGCGGUACGCGAGCUGGGUUCAGAACGUCGUGAGACAGUUUGGUCCCUAUCUGUUGUGGGCGUAGGAAAAUUGAAGAGAGCUGUUCCUAGUACGAGAGGACCGGAAUGGACGCACCCCUGGUGCUCCUGUUGUCACGCCAGUGGCAUAGCAGGGUAGCUAUGUGCGGACAGGAUAAUCGCUGAAGGCAUCUAAGCGAGAAGCCCCCUUUAAGAUGAAUUUUCCCAUUUGUAAGAUGUAAGAUCCCAUGUAGACCACAUGGUUGAUAGGAUGGAUGUGUAAGCGCUGUGAG